UACGUAGGGUGCAAGCGUUAAUCGGAAUUACUGGGCGUAAAGCGUGCGCAGGCGGUCGUGUAAGACAGAUGUGAAAUCCCCGGGCUCAACCUGGGAACUGCAUUUGUGACUGCACGGCUGGAGUGCGGCAGAGGGGGAUGGAAUUCCGCGUGUAGCAGUGAAAUGCGUAGAUAUCUGGAGGAACACCGGUGGCGAAGGCGGCAUCCUGGACCGACACUGACACUGAGGAGCGAAAGCCAGGGGAGCAAACGGG
rnacentral:rRNA from 1 species